UGCGGGGAUGUCGUAACCGGC
rnacentral:siRNA from 1 species